UCUUCAUUCCUCACACUAUCCCGCCGAUCAGAUCGGCGAGAGAGUGUGCGAAAUGAAGAGA
rfam:Pristionchus pacificus strain PS312 contig356, whole genome shotgun sequence.